AACCCACGCAGCCCCCAACACCCACUAUCAAUAUUGUGUCCCUCAUCCUCUCUCUCGAAAUCUCUUUUCCUUGCCUCUGCAUAAAAACCAGCGGCACACUCUUCUUCCCUUCUACAUGUUCUUUUUGUUCUUCACUAGAAACAACCCCAAUUGACACCAUGAAAAAGACACGCUCAUGAGGAGAAGUUUGGGUAUCCAUGUGAAAAGGUUUCUAACAAGAAAUUGGGAGAUAGGGUUUGUGCUAAGGAAUUAGAAGAGUACCCACCCCUUCACGAUUAUGUUAUUGAGAUUUAUCGGCUAGUGGUUCGUUCCGUUCGCGUGGAGUUGUUGAGAGCGGUUCAGUUGAUUCGCCCUAGCGAUUCUCAGGCAACUAAGUAGCUGGCUCGUGUCAGAUUCAAAUCAAUCGAUUAUCUUAUUGGUAGGCCUCCUUUGGUUGGUGGCUCGAUUGGUGUCUUCUAUUUGAUUCUAGUUAUCUGCAGCUAUAGGGAGUCUUAGGUGGAUUGAUUCUGAAUUGUUAUUUAUUAUUUCAUUUAAGAAAUUGUACUUUAGUGAUGAAAUUGGAAUUUGGGUUUUCAUGGAGUUUUGGUUAUGAUGAAAACCAUUUGACAGGUUUAUUGUUUUGGAAAUGUUGAUAUUAUAAAGGAGGUUUUGUUGAA